rnacentral:lncRNA from 1 species
CGCAGACAGUACCACUGACUAGUCUUUUGACUGCAUGGUAGAGGAUGAUGCUCAGAAAAUAUACCAUGUGCCCGUUGCAGUUCUGGAGAAAUGAAAAGCUGCUCAAAAGGAGAAUACCAAUACCUUAGAGACCCCAUUACUAGAAAUGGAAAUGGGGGAUUUUCAUCAAAGGACAGAUUGAAAUGAAUAUGAAUGUUGUGCUCUGCCUGCCAGCCCCUCAGCAUGUGCAGUGGUAGAAGGAAGGGAAUCUUGCUUCCUCUUGAGCUGGAGCACCAUGAAUCUGGCAACUCUGCAGCCUCCUGAGACCAACAGCCUGCUCAGGAAGUGCUGAAUGUUACAAGCAAAUGCUUUGCAGGAGACUCAGGUUAACGUUUAUUCCAGCAUACCUGUGAACCUCGGUACUUCAGAGGACAUGGCUUGAUCUGC